UUACAUGGGCUUGUCAUGCUGUCUUGAAUUAUCAUUAAAAAAGAGUUGAAUUCAUCAAGAUAAAUUGAACCUGGUUUCAGGUUUUAUUUGCCAGAAUCCUGUGGCCACUUUGAGUUUGACCUUGCAAAUUACCCAGAUAAUGAUAAAAAGAAGACAAAAAUAUUUGUUGAGAUAAACUGAAAUUUAGUACCAUUCACUGUGGGGCUUUUGGAUGAAAUUAAACUCACAUGGUGGCCAUGUUCUGGUGUCUCAGCUGGUUGAAAGCACAUUCUUAUGGAAGCUACAUGAUCUACAUGGUAGUGAAGUUCAUGCAUCAGACAGCAUCCAUCUUACUCCCGUAGGAUUGGAGACGGGUAUUUGUGUCAAACCUCAGCAAUACGCCAUGCAUUGCAACGCAAUGUCAUCAGAGAUAAGAUUGUAUUCUCACAGCUAUCAAAGCCCUUCAAAAUUUUUGAAUUCGACUUUUGGAAACGGCCAAACAGUCAUGGAGAAACUGAGCUACACAUACAGGCAAGUGACAAUGGCACAGUUCAUGCUGUAAUUUCAUGGUGGGUGCUUCAACUUGAUUAUGAGGGGAGAAUCUUCUAUUCUACAGCACCACUAUGGAUAAGUUCGCCCUUCAACACUAGGGAAGAAGUUACAUAUGCUCCUGGUGAGUUUAUCCAUUUGGUGUGGUUCAAUGACCUAGAAUUGGCAUUUUGUUUUAGAAUGCCUCAGCAAAACUGAGGUGGAAAGAACAAUUACAACCCGAAAUCCCAAGAAUUGGCAAUUGAGGCGGGAAGAAACUAUAAAAUACUAGGAAUCUCAUAGAAUUAUUCAUUUUUAUGAAUGAAUUGUUUAUUCGGUUAAUUUGGAAGUAGUCGAAUUUGAUGCGGACAUCAGUGGUGCACCCUUUAGAGUGUAUCAAAGAAGGAGGCGUCGCCGACAAAGUACCAAAGCAAAGGAGUUGAUGUGGAGAGACGUCGGGUCCAUUGGACCCAUUUUUUGACGUGCUACGAGUGUAUGAGUGGAAUGAUUGCACACUGACCGAGGGCCCACGGGGCAGAUUUCAUACCUGUCGCGCGGGUGUUUUAGUUUUACAUGUUUUUUAUUCUUUUCCUUGUUUUCAAGGGCUUUAGUCCACUUUUUAAAAUUUUUAUUUUUUUGUUAUUUUCCCUGUUUUCAGGGGCUUUAGUGCACUUUUACUUUUUCCAUAGCUUAUAUAUACACUGUGAGAAGCCCUAUUCUAUUUAUUGAAUGAAUGAGAAUUCGUAUGCUUUCUUCCUCUUUUUAUCAAAGAGAUUAGGGUUUCAAGAUUGGCCCUUGGGUGUUGAGGAUUUCAUCUCGGUUUUAGGUUUCUUUCCUUCUAGAUCUUCAAGAUGUAGGAAAAGGUAAGAAUCAAUCGUCUUAUUUUCUCUGAUGCCCUAGAAUCCAUACUUUUUUUUUCGUCUCGAACCCAUAUCUUCUUCAUCUCUUUCGUUCCUUUCUGGAUAUUCUAUUUUGGUUUGAACGGGAAAGAGGGAUGGCUAGUCAGGAUAAUCGGAUCCAAACUUCACCGUGGACUGACUUAUGCUAGAUCUAGGAUAUCCUCAUAUCCCUAUGUCCUCCCUUUUGACUGUUUACGUGAUUUUAUGCUAAGGGGCAUGAUCCCGACGGAAUGAUUUCAUCUCUGUGUUGAGAUUUGCUUAAUCAGUGUGAUUGAUAACAGUUAGUUGAUUAAUUUUAUUAUUUGAAUCUCUUCAACCUGAUUAUACAUGCAUCUAUGGUUAGGCCAUCACAUGUCCCUGCAUCAAUAUCCUGUUUAGAUC